GAGCGCUUCGCUGAUNACGAAGA
rnacentral:tRNA from 1 species